CAGGGCAGAAGCAAGAUGACGAAGGGGAUGUCUUCGUUCAGCAAGCGCCGCAACAAGACGCACACGCUGUGCCAACGCUGCGGCUCCAAGGCCUACCACCUGCAGAAGUCCACCUGCGGCAAGUGCGGCUACCCCGCCAAGCGCAAGAGGAAGUAUAACUGGAGUGCCAAGGCCAAGCGACGGAACACCACCGGGACGGGUCGCAUGUGGCCCCUGAAAAUCGUGUACCGCAGGUUCAGGCAUGGAUUCCGUGAAGGAACAACUCCUAAACCCAAGAGGGCAGCUGUUGCCGCAUCCAGAUCAUCUUAAAGGAUUUCAGUGAUUAGUCGCGCAAAUCUCAGUUUU